GACAUUAGCAUUUGAGUCAGUGGACUAAGAGACACAGACCCACCGUCAAUCUGAGUGGGCGCUGUCUAAGCAGCUGCCAUUGUGGCUAAGAUAAAAGCAGGCAGGAGAACGCAGAAGGACCAGACUGGCUAAGUCCUCAGGUCUCCAUCUUUCUCCCGUGCUGGGUGCUUUCUGCCCUCGAACAUCGGACUCUGAGUUCUUCAGCUUUCAGACUCUUGGAUUACACCAGUGAUUUGCCAGGGGCUCUCGCGUCUUCGGCCACACACUGAAGGGGACACUGCUGGCUUCCCUGCUUUUGCAGUUUGGGACUCAGACUGGCUUCCUGGGUCCUCAGCUUGCAGAUGGCGUAUUGGGGGCUUCACCUUAAGAUCAUAGUUUAAGAUGCAAUGGCCAGAAGACAUGAGCGUGUCACUAGAAGGAUGUGGACGUGGGCUCCGGGGCUGUUGAUGAUGACGGUGGUCUUUUGGGGUCAUCUGGGGAAUGGACAAGGCCAAGCAGAGUUGAAAUGUGAGAUGGGGUGCAGCUUCUCCUAACCCCUGGCGUAUCAUCUGAUGGAACUGAAGAGUGAGAAAUGACCUCCACGGACCUGGAGCCUCAGCUUCAUGUCUCCACCGAGAUGCCACAUUGGAGGCAAGCUCAACGCAAUGCCUUUAUUAGAAACGUUUUUAAAAGGGAACCCGUAUUCACGUUUGUCAGGACACUGCUUAUCUCUCUAGUUGAACCCGUAUAACUUACUUUAUAAGAUGGUAAGAUACAAAGACUCUUAAUCUUCUAUCUACCAGGACUCUUGACAUAAAUUGAAAGCUCACUUAUAACAGCUCUAGCAUCCCAAGUGCCUUGGACUACACUCCAAUUUAACUUACUGUUCAGUUUUUAUAUAACUGUCUUCCUUAUAUUGUGCUUAAUUUUCUUAUUAAUUUAAUAUUUUAAGAAGAAUACUCAUUCUGAGAAGUUCACAAAUCAGUUAGGCUUAAGUUUUUAAAUAAAUGUUUUAAAAAUAUUAAAAGCACACGUAUGAAACAAUGAUACUAGACUUAAUUAUGGAGAGCAGCCUCCCCUACAAAUUUCAGCCACAACACAAGAGCAGUCAAGAGCAGUAAGCAGAUCAGUCCACUCACCUUCCUUCCAACAUUUCAAGUGACUGGGGAAAGAAUAGGGACAAAAUAAGAUAAAACAAAAUAAAGGUUUCUUGUGGAACACUGAAAAAUUAUUAUGUGCCAAAGUGUGAGAAUGCUUUAUAUCCAUCCCAUCGUUUGUCCUGGGAGGUACUUUCUAUUAUUGAUUUCAUUUGACAAAUGAGGAAACAGAGGUCUGAAUAGGUAGAGAAACAAUUGUCAACUUUCUACUUCUUAGUAUAACUUUACUGCCUCUGAGGCCUGCCUGCAUUCCUGCACUGGGGUUUCAUGGACAUUACUCGAGACCACUGGCCCUAUGUCUGUCAUCUUUUAUGUUUCAUUUAUAAACACCCUCAGCUCUUGAUCUGUGAGGGUCUUAAUAAAUAUAGUUGUAUUAAA